GGAAUAUUGCGCAAUGGGGGAAACCCUGACGCAGCGACGCCGCGUGGGUGAUGAAGGCCUUCGGGUCGUAAAGCCCUGUCGGAGGGGAAGAAGGACUGUCGUGCAAAUAGUGCGAUGGUUUGACGGUACCCUUAGAGGAAGCACCGGCUAACUCCGUUCCAGCAGCCGCGGUAAUACGGAGGGUGCAAGCGUUGCUCGGAAUUACUGGGCGUAAAGGGCGUGUAGGCGGUUUCGUAUGUCUGGCGUGAAAGCCCCGGGCUCACCUCGGGAAGUGCGUCGGAAACUGCGAGACUAGAGUCCCGGAGAGGGAGGUGGAAUUCCAGGUGUAGCGGUGAAAUGCGUAGAUAUCUGGAAGAACACCGGUGGCGAAAGCGGCCUCCUGGACGGUGACUGACGCUGAGGCGCGAAAGCGUGGGGAGCAAA
rnacentral:rRNA from 1 species